ACUGGGCUUAAAGCGAGCGUAGGCGGUAGAGUAAGUUAGAUGUGAAAGCCCAGGGCUCAACCCUGGGACUGCAUUUAAAACUGCUUUACUAGAGUGCAGGAGAGGAAAGUGGAAUUCCUAGUGUAGCGGUGAAAUGCGUAGAUAUUAGGAGGAACACCAGUGGCGAAGGCGACUUUCUGGACUGUAACUGACGCUGAGGCUCGAAAGCGUGGGGAGCGAACAGGAUUAGAUACCCUGGUAGUCCACGCCGUAAACGAUGAGUGCUAGGUGUUGGCCCGUCAAGGGUCGGUGCCGCAGCUAACGCAAUAGGCACUCCACCUGGGGAGUACGAUCGCAAGAUUGAAACUCAAAUGAAUUGACGG
rnacentral:rRNA from 1 species